rnacentral:rRNA from 1 species
GUGAUAAGGGGACACCGAGUGCCAGCAUCAUAUGCUGGCUGUCCAGGUGUGUAAAAUACACCUGUCAGCAAGGGCCGGGCAAGACCGGUGCCAGCCGCCGCGGUAACACCGGCGGCCCGAGUGGUGAUCGUGAUUAUUGGGUCUAAAGGGUCCGUAGCCGGUUUGGUCAGUCCUCCGGGAAAUCUGACGGCUCAACCGUUAGGCUUUCGGGGGAUACUGCCAGGCUUGGAACCGGGAGAGGUAAGAGGUACUACAGGGGUAGGAGUGAAAUCUUGUAAUCCCUGUGAGACCACCUGUGGCGAAGGCGUCUUACCAGAACGGGUUCGACGGUGAGGGACGAAAGCUGGGGGCACGAACCGGAUUAGAUACCCGGGUAGUCCCAGCCGUAAACGAUGCUCGCUAGGUGUCAGGCAUGGCGCGACCGUGUCUGGUGCCGCAGGGAAGCCGUGAAGCGAGCCACCUGGGAAGUACGGCCGCAAGGCUGAAACUUAAAGGAAUUGGCGGGGGAGCAC